GUUUCCGUAGUGUAGUGGUUAUCACGUGUGCUUCACACGCACAAGGUCGCCGGUUCGAACCCGGCCGGAAACA